rnacentral:rRNA from 2 species
GGCCAGAAGAAAUGGCUAAGGGGUUAGGGGGUUUCCGCCCUUAGUGCUGCAGCUAACGCAUUAAGCACUCCGCCUGGGGAGUACGGUCGCAAGACUGAAACUCAAAGGAAUUGACGGGGGCCCGCACAAGCGGUGGAGCAUGUGGUUUAAUUCGAAGCAACGCGAAGAACCUUACCAGGUCUUGACAUCCCGUUGACCACUGUAGAGAUAUAGUUUCCCCUUCGGGGGCAACGGUGACAGGUGGUGCAUGGUUGUCGUCAGCUCGUGUCGUGAGAUGUUGGGUUAAGUCCCGCAACGAGCGCAACCCUUGAUCUUAGUUGCCAUCAUUUAGUUGGGCACUCUAAGGUGACUGCCGGUGACAAACCGGAGGAAGGUGGGGAUGACGUCAAAUCAUCAUGCCCCUUAUGACCUGGGCUACACACGUGCUACAAUGGACGAUACAAACGGUUGCCAACUCGCGAGAGGGAGCUAAUCCGAUAAAGUCGUUCUCAGUUUCGGAUUGUAGGCUGCAACUCGCCUACAUGAAGCCGGAAUCGCUAGUAAUCGCGGAUCAGCAUGCCGCGGUGAAUACGUUCCCCGGGCCUUGUACACACCGCCCCGUAAA